rnacentral:rRNA from 1 species
GACGAACGCUGGCGGCGUGCCUAAUACAUGCAAGUAGAACGCUGAAGAGAGGAGCUUGCUCUUCUUGGAUGAGUUGCGAACGGGUGAGUAACGCGUAGGUAACCUGCCUUGUAGCGGGGGAUAACUAUUGGAAACGAUAGCUAAUACCGCAUAACAAUGGAUGACACAUGUCAUUUAUUUGAAAGGGGCAAUUGCUCCACUACAAGAUGGACCUGCGUUGUAUUAGCUAGUAGGUGAGGUAACGGCUCACCUAGGCGACGAUACAUAGCCGACCUGAGAGGGUGAUCGGCCACACUGGGACUGAGACACGGCCCAGACUCCUACGGGAGGCAGCAGUAGGGAAUCUUCGGCAAUGGGGGCAACCCUGACCGAGCAACGCCGCGUGAGUGAAGAAGGUUUUCGGAUCGUAAAGCUCUGUUGUAAGUCAAGAACGAGUGUGAGAGUGGAAAAUUCACACUGUGACGGUAGCUUACCAGAAAGGGACGGCUAACUACGUGCCAGCAGCCGCGGUAAUACGUAGGUCCCGAGCGUCGUCCGGAUUUAUUGGGCGUAAAGCGAGCGCAGGCGGUUUGAUAAGUCUGAAGUUAAAGGCUGUGGCUCAACCAUAGUUCGCUUUGGAAACUGUCAAACUUGAGUGCAGAAGGGGAGAGUGGAAUUCCAUGUGUAGCGGUGAAAUGCGUAGAUAUAUGGAGGAACACCGGUGGCGAAAGCGGCUCUCUGGUCUGUAACUGACGCUGAGGCUCGAAAGCGUGGGGAGCGAACAGGAUUAGAUACCCUGGUAGUCCACGCCGUAAACGAUGAGUGCUAGGUGUUGGAUCCUUUCCGGGAUUCAGUGCCGCAGCUAACGCAUUAAGCACUCCGCCUGGGGAGUACGACCGCAAGGUUGAAACUCAAAGGAAUUGACGGGGGCCCGCACAAGCGGUGGAGCAUGUGGUUUAAUUCGAAGCAACGCGAAGAACCUUACCAGGUCUUGACAUCCCGAUGCUAUUUCUAGAGAUAGAAAGUUACUUCGGUACAUCGGUGACAGGUGGUGCAUGGUUGUCGUCAGCUCGUGUCGUGAGAUGUUGGGUUAAGUCCCGCAACGAGCGCAACCCCUAUUGUUAGUUGCCAUCAUUCAGUUGGGCACUCUAGCGAGACUGCCGGUAAUAAACCGGAGGAAGGUGGGGAUGACGUCAAAUCAUCAUGCCCCUUAUGACCUGGGCUACACACGUGCUACAAUGGUUGGUACAACGAGUUGCGAGUCGGUGACGGCAAGCUAAUCUCUUAAAGCCAAUCUCAGUUCGGAUUGUAGGCUGCAACUCGCCUACAUGAAGUCGGAAUCGCUAGUAAUCGCGGAUCAGCACGCCGCGGUGAAUACGUUCCCGGGCCU